rnacentral:piRNA from 1 species
UACGUUUUCNAGAUCACCUCAGCCACUUCUC